UGCUGGAGGUAUCAGAAGUGCGAAUGCUGACAUAAGUAACGAUAAAGCGGGUGAAAAGCCCGCUCGCCGGAAGACCAAGGGUUCCUGUCCAACGUUAAUCGGGGCAGGGUGAGUCGACCCCUAAGGCGAGGCCGAAAGGCGUAGUCGAUGGGAAACAGGUUAAUAUUCCUGUACUUGGUGUUACUGCGAAGGGGGGACGGAGAAGGCUAUGUUAGCCGGGCGACGGUUGUCCCGGUUUAAGCAUGUAGGCUGGUUAUCCAGGCAAAUCCGGAUAAUCAAGGCUGAGGUGUGAUGACGAGGCACUACGGUGCUGAAGUAACAAAUGCCCUGCUUCCAGGAAAAGCCUCUAAGCAUCAGGUAACAUCAAAUCGUACCCCAAACCGACACAGGUGGUCAGGUAGAGAAUACCAAGGCGCUUGAGAGAACUCGGGUGAAGGAACUAGGCAAAAUGGUGCCGUAACUUCGGGAGAAGGCACGCUGGUGUGUAGGUGAAGUCCCUGCGGAUGGAGCUGAGACCAGUCGAAGAUACCAGCUGGCUGCAACUGUUUAUUAAAAACACAGCACUGUGCAAACACGAAAGUGGACGUAUACGGUGUGACGCCUGCCCGGUGCCGGAAGGUUAAUUGAUGGGGUUAUCCGUAAGGAGAAGCUCUUGAUCGAAGCCCCGGUAAACGGCGGCCGUAACUAUAACGGUCCUAAGGUAGCGAAAUUCCUUGUCGGGUAAGUUCCGACCUGCACGAAUGGCGUAAUGAUGGCCAGGCUGUCUCCACCCGAGACUCAGUGAAAUUGAACUCGCUGUGAAGAUGCAGUGUACCCGCGGCAAGACGGAAAGACCCCGUGAACCUUUACUAUAGCUUGACACUGAACAUUGAGCCUUGAUGUGUAGGAUAGGUGGGAGGCUUUGAAGCGUGGACGCCAGUCUGCGUGGAGCCAACCUUGAAAUACCACCCUUUAAUGUUUGAUGUUCUAACGUGGGCCCCUUAUCGGGGUUGCGGACAGUGUCUGGUGGGUAGUUUGACUGGGGCGGUCUCCUCCCAAAGCGUAACGGAGGAGCACGAAGGUUAGCUAAUCCUGGUCGGACAUCAGGAGGUUAGUGCAAUGGCAUAAGCUAGCUUGACUGCGAGCGUGACGGCGCGAGCAGGUGCGAAAGCAGGUCAUAGUGAUCCGGUGGUUCUGAAUGGAAGGGCCAUCGCUCAACGGAUAAAAGGUACUCCGGGGAUAACAGGCUGAUACCGCCCAAGAGUUCAUAUCGACGGCGGUGUUUGGCACCUCGAUGUCGGCUCAUCACAUCCUGGGGCUGAAGUAGGUCCCAAGGGUAUGGCUGUUCGCCAUUUAAAGUGGUACGCGAGCUGGGUUUAGAACGUCGUGAGACAGUUCGGUCCCUAUCUGCCGUGGGCGCUGGAGAAUUGAGGGGGGCUGCUCCUAGUACGAGAGGACCGGAGUGGACGCAUCACUGGUGUUCGGGUUGUCAUGCCAAUGGCACUGCCCGGUAGCUAAAUGCGGAAGAGAUAAGUGCUGAAAGCAUCUAAGCACGAAACUUGCCCCGAGAUGAGUUCUCCCUGAGACUAUAAGUCUCCUGAAGGAACGUUGAAGACGACGACGUUGAUAGGCCGGGUGUGUAAGCGCAGCGAUGCGUUGAGCUAACCGGUACUAAUGAACCGUGAGGCUUAACCUU
rnacentral:rRNA from 1 species